GGAGUGGGCCAGGCGGUCGCGGCCGGGUCCCCGGACGCCGGCCGAGGAAAGUCCGAGCUGGACAGGGCACGGUGAUGGCUAACGGCCACCGGGCGUGAGCCCAGGGAAAGUGCCACAGAAAACACACCGCCCGGCCGGGCAUGCCCGGUCGUGGUAAGGGUGAAAAGGUGCGGUAAGAGCGCACCGCGCGACCGGUGACGGUCGUGGCAGGGCAAACCCCACCGCCAGCAAGCCCAAAUAGGGGGCGAGAGCCGGCCCGGCUCGUUACCAGCCCCGGGUAGG
rnacentral:RNase_P_RNA from 1 species